GAAAACGCAGGACCCCAAAAAGGUACUUACUAGUAGAUGACUAAGUGAUUUAUGAAAAAACGUAGAACCAGUAGAGGAAAACAAGAGAGAAAGAUUGAACAAGAUGGGUCUUGCGUCUAAGUGAACAACUUAUCAUAAACCCACAAAGGAGAAUUUCACUCACAACUGGAGACAUCAAUUCACAAACUAUGCAGCCAUCAAAAACAAAAAAAUUAUGAACAGAGUAACAAUAGCCGGGAAACUAAAGAUUCGACAGACAAAGAGGAGAAGAGAAGAAGAGGAAGGGAUUGAUGUUGAGGUUAUGGACUGAUUUAAAGGCACAAAAAGGUGGACGAGAGAAAU
rnacentral:lncRNA from 1 species